rnacentral:rRNA from 1 species
CCUGGAAACAGAUGCUAAUACCGGAUAACAACAGAUGAUGCCUAUCAACUGUUUAAAAGAUGGUUCUGCUAUCACUCUUGGAUGGACCUGCGGUGCAUUAGCUAGUUGGUAGGGUAACGGCCUACCAAGGCGAUGAUGCAUAGCCGAGUUGAGAGACUGAUCGGCCACAUUGGGACUGAGACACGGCCCAAACUCCUACGGGAGGCAGCAGAA